rnacentral:rRNA from 1 species
AUUGAACGCUGGCGGCAUGCUUUACACAUGCAAGUCGAACGGCAGCGCGGGCUUCGGCCUGGCGGCGAGUGGCGAACGGGUGAGUAAUACAUCGGAACGUGCCCAGUAGUGGGGGAUAGCUCGGCGAAAGCCGGAUUAAUACCGCAUACGACCUGAGGGUGAAAGCGGGGGAUCUUCGGACCUCGCGCUAUUGGAGCGGCCGAUGGCAGAUUAGCUAGUUGGUGGGGUAAAGGCCUACCAAGGCGACGAUCUGUAGCUGGUCUGAGAGGACGACCAGCCACACUGGGACUGAGACACGGCCCAGACUCCUACGGGAGGCAGCAGUGGGGAAUUUUGGACAAUGGGCGAAAGCCUGAUCCAGCAAUGCCGCGUGUGUGAUGGAGGCCUUCGGGUUGUAAAGCACUUUUGGUGGGAACGAAAAGGACUGUGCCAAUACCACGGUUCGAUGACGGUACCCGCAGAAUAAGCACCGGCUAACUACGUG